GCCCCGAUAGUUCAACGGAUAGAACAUAAGUUUCCUAAACUUACGAUGAUGGUUCGAUUCCAUCUCGGGGUA
rnacentral:tRNA from 1 species